GAUGAACGCUGGCGGCGUGCUUAACACAUGCAGGUCGAACGGUGAAGCAGGAGCUUGCUCUUGUGGAUCAGUGGCGAACGGGUGAGUAACACGUGAGCAACCUGCCCCUGACUCUGGGAUAAGCGCUGGAAACGGUGUCUAAUACUGGAUAUGUGAUGUGACCGCAUGGUCUGCAUCUGGAAAGAAUUUCGGUUGGGGAUGGGCUCGCGGCCUAUCAGCUUGUUGGUGAGGUAAUGGCUCACCAAGGCGUCGACGGGUAGCCGGCCUGAGAGGGUGACCGGCCACACUGGGACUGAGACACGGCCCAGACUCCUACGGGAGGCAGCAGUGAGGAAUUUUCCACAAUGGGCGAAAGCCUGAUGGAGCAAUACCGCGUGAAGGAUGACGGCCUUCGGGUUGUAAACUUCUUUUAAAUGGGAAGAUUAUGACGGUACCAUUUGAAUAAGCAUCGGCUAACUACGUGCCAGCAGCCGCCGUAA
rnacentral:rRNA from 1 species